CUUUGCAUUAAUUGGCAAGUACAGUAAAAUUUUUAUAUAUGAGCUCGAAGUAACAGCAACGACAGAAAUUUAACAUUCCAAAAAUCGGAAUGUAACCGAUAAUAAUAUUCCCAUGAAUUCCUAGCUGUAGAAGCGAUUACAGUGAAAAAAUAUUGGGAAAUUAUGGAAAUAUUCGGGUGCUCUUCUGAGAAAUCUCUGCAGUGCACCUGCUGUUGAGUAAAUGGAGGGAAUCCUAUCUACCUGGGAGUGAGGAUGCAGGGUUCAGAUACCUGCUGACAAUGAGGGAGAUGAAAGUGGAAUGUCAAAGAUUUGAAUAAAAUAGCUCGGAGAGGCAUGUGUGAAUUGUACUACGUUUCGCUUUCACCGUUCGGGCAUUAGGUACCUACACUCCACGAAUAUCCUAUAGAGCUGUAUGAAAAUAUGUUACCCAGUAUUGAUUCCAGCAUCUCCCCAGCUACUCUCGCGAUAUCGUAGGAGAUUUUUGGACGAUGUAAAAAUAGAGAUAUUAUUCCUACCUGAGUAUUUGCUAGAUGGAGAUGGCACAGGAAAAGAACGACCCCCCAGCCGGCCGUCA